UGGCUCAGUAACACGUGGAGAAUCUAACCUUUGGUGGAGGAUAAUCUCGGGAAACUGAGAAUAAUACUCCAUAAACAUAGGAUGCUGGAAUGCUUCUAUGUUGAAAGGCAACGCCAAAGGAUGACUCUGCGACCUAUCAGGCUGUAGUGAGUGUAAUGGACUCACUAACCUGCAACGGGUACGGGUGUUGGAAGACAUUGCCCGGAGAUGGACUCUGAGACAUGAGUCCAGGUUCUACGGAACGCAGCAGGCGCGAAAACUCCGCAAUGUACGAAAGUACGGCGGGGGAAUUCUGAGUGCUUACGCCUUGCGUAGGCUGUUUUCUUGUCUAAAAAACAAGGAGAGUAAGGGCUGGGUAAGACGGGUGCCAUCUCGUGCAAUUCUACACUUAUUGUGUUCGUUGCACGAAGCACAAGCCGCCGCGGUAAUACCCGCGGCCCGAGUGGUGCUCAUUAUUAUUGAGCCUAAAACGUCCGUAGCCGGUUUAAUAAAUUCUUGGGUAAAUCAUAUCGCUUAACGAUAUGAAUUCUGAGAACACUGCUAAACUCGGGAAUGGGAGAGGCCAGAGGUACUUUCAGGGUAGGGGUAAAAUCCCGUAAUCCUGAGAGGACCACCGGUGGCGAAGGCGUCUGGCUAGAACAUAUUCGACGGUAAGGGACGAAGCCCUGGGGCGCAAACGGGAUUAGAUACCCCGGUAGUCCAGGGUGUAAACGCUGUAGAUUUGGUGUUGGAAAUCCUACGGGGAUUCCCAGUGCCGGAGAGAAGUUGUUAAAUCUACUGCUUGGGGAGUACGGUCGCAAGACUGAAACUUAAAGGAAUUGGCGGGGGAGCACCGCAACGGGUGGAGCGUGCGGUUUAAUUGGAUUCAACGCCGAGAAACUCACCGGGGGCGACCAUUAUAUGAAGGCCAAGCCAAUGACUUUGC
rnacentral:rRNA from 1 species